CUACGGGAGGCAGCAGUUAGGAAUAUUUUGCAAUGCGCGCAAGCGUGACAAAUUGAGUCAGAGUGCUUUUCUUAUUGAAAAGCUUUUAUGGAAUGUAAAAAGUUCCAUGAAUAAGGACUGGGUAAGACUAGUGCCAGCCGCCGCGGUAAUACUAGCGGUCCAAGUCGCAGCCAUUUUUAUUGGGUCUAAAACAUCCGUAGCUUGCUUGAUAAGUUCUUUGUGAAAUUUUAUCUCUUAAAGAUAGAGCGUGCAAGGAGUACUGUUAAGCUAGAGACUGGAAGACGUAGGAAGUAUGUUCAAAGUAGCGGUAAAAUGUGUUAAUCUUGAACAGACUCACAAUAGCGAAGGCAUCCUACGAGGACAGUUCUGACAGUAAGGGAUGAAGGCUAAGGUCGCGAAAGGGAUUAGAUACCCUAGUAGUC
rnacentral:rRNA from 1 species